rnacentral:misc_RNA from 1 species
UUUCCGUAGGUGAACCUGCGGAAGGAUCAUUACAGUAGUCACCCAGGUUGCCGCAAGGCCUCCUGGGUAACCUACCACCCUUUGUUUAUUACACUUUGUUGCUUUGGCAAGCCUGCCCUCGGGCUGCUGGCUCCGGCCGGCGAGCGCUUGCCAGAGGACCUAAACUCUGUUUGUCUAUACUGUCUGAGUACUAUAUAAUAGUUAAAACUUUCAACAACGGAUCUCUUGGUUCUGGCUUCGAUGAAGAACGCAGC